GCAGACAUAUUCCAGCCAAUCAGCAGCAGACCCUCCCUCCCAGAUCCUCCCACCUCCUGGACAGCAUCCAUUUUACAUUCAUUGUGAAGCUGCAUUCUUAGUGAGCUGUCCAGGAGGUGGGAGGGUCUGGGAGGGAGGGUCUGCUGCUGAUUGACUGGAAUGUGUCUG
rnacentral:miRNA from 1 species